rnacentral:rRNA from 1 species
UACAGAGGGUGCUAGCGUUGUUCGGAAUCAUUGGGCGUAAAGGGCGUGUAGGCGGUUUGUUAAGUCAUGUGUGAAAUCCCUCGGCUCAACCGGGGAACGACGCAUGAAACUGGCAAGCUAGAGUACCAAAGAGGGGGGUGGAAUUCCCGGUGUAGCGGUGAAAUGCGUAGAUAUCGAGAGGAACACCAGUGGCGAAGGCGAGUCCCUGGACAGGUCCUGACGCUGAGGCACGAAAGCUAGGGGAGCAAACAGG